rnacentral:rRNA from 1 species
CUUCAACGCUGGCUGCAGCUUUAACCCAUUCCAGUCAAGCGAGCGUCACACGGGUGAGUAAUGUCUUGGAAACUGCCUGAUGGCGGGGGAUAACUACUGGAACCGGUACCUAAUACCGCAUACCAUCAGCUGUGCCCAGAUGGGAUUGACUAGUAGGUGGGCUAACGGCUCAUCUAGGCGACGAUCCCUAGCUGGUCUGAGAGGAUGACCAGCCACAUGUGAACUGAGACACGGUCCAGAAGCCUAAGGGAGGCAGCGGUGGGGAAUAUUGCACAAUUGGCGGAAGCCGGCAGCAGCCAUGACGCGUGUUUGAAGUAGUCCUUCGGGUUGGAAAGCACUUUCAGCGAGGAGGCGUUACUCGCAGAAGAAGCACCGGCUAACUCCGUGCCAGCAGCCGCGGUAAUAC